rnacentral:rRNA from 1 species
UCAAGCGAACAAGGGCGCAGGGCGAAUGCCUUGGCACUGGGAGCCGAUGAAAGACGUGAUAAGCUGCGAUAAGCUUCGGGGAGCUGCAAAUAAGCAUUGAUCCGGAGAUUUCUGAAUGAGGAAACUCACCUGGGUUCAUACUCAGGUACGUUAUACUGAACUUAAAAAUAGGUAUAUCGAGGGAACCGCCUGAACUGAAACAUCUAAGUAGGGCGAGGAAGAGACAUCAAACGAGAUUCCGUAAGUAGUGGCGAGCGAACGCGGAAGAGGGCAAACCGGGAGUAGAAAUACUCCCGGGGUACGGACUGCUUUUAGGACUUAAUCUGUUAACCGAACGGCAUGGGAAGGCCGGUCAGAGAGUGUGAGAACCACGUAGGUGAAAACGGAGAGAGCUGCGCAGGAUCCAGAGUACGGCCAGACACGUGAAACCUGGUCGGAAUACGGGGGGACCACCCUCUAACCCUAAAUACUACCCAGUGACCGAUAGCGUAUAGUACUGUGAAGGAAAGGUGAAAAGCACCCCGGGAGGGGAGUGAAAAAGAACCUGAAACCCUGUGCCUACAAGCACCUAGAGCACGUCAAUGUGUGAUAGGGUACUUUUUGUAGAACGGUCCGGCGAGCGAUUGUAUGCAGCAAGGUUAAGGACUUAAGGUCUGGAGCCGAAGCGAAAGCGAGUUUGAAAAGGGCGUUAAGUUGCAUACAAUGGGCCCGAAACCGGGUGACCUACCCAUGGUCAGGUUGAAGUGGAAGUAAAAUUCCAUGGAGGACCGAACCGACCUCCGUUGAAAAGGCGGCGGAUGAACUGUGGGUAGCGGAGAAAUUCCAAUCGAACCCGGAGAUAGCUGGUUCUCCCCGAAAUAGUUUUAGGACUAGCCUCAAGUUAGAUACCUGGAGGUAAAGCACUGAAUAGCCUAGCGGCCGAGAGGUUAGCGAAGCUUAUCAAACUCAGAAUGCCAGAGUAUUGAUGCUUGGGAGUCAGACAGUGUCAGAUAAAUGUCAUUGUCAAAAGGGAAACAGCCCAGAUCUACAGCUAAGGUCCCAAAGUCAGGUUAAGUGGAAAACGAUGUGAAGAUACGUAGACAACCAGGAUGUUGGCUCAGAAGCAGCCACACAUUCAAAGAGUGCGUAAUAGCUCACUGGUCGAGCGUCUUUGCGCGGAGAAUUUAACGGGGCUAAACCUGACACCGAAGCUUAGGCAAUACAGCAAUGUAUUGGGUAGGGGAGCGUUGUAUACGCGGUGAAACAGUAGCGCAAGCGGCUGUGGAGUGUAUAGAAGUGAGAAUGCCGGAAUGAGUAGCGCGAAUGCAGUGAGAAUCUGCAUGGCCGAAAGCCUCAGGUUUCUGGAGGAAGGUUCGUCCGCUCCAGGUUAGUCGGGAGCUAAGGUGAGGCCUAACGGCGUAGCCGAUGCACAGACGGUAGAGAUUCCGUCACCACCAAAAGAGUUAAACACAGGGACACAUUUGAAGUCUCGGAGCCGGGUGUUGGUUCCGGUAGCGAUCGAGGGAAGUUAGUACCGAAGUCCGGGAUGGAAGAUGGCGAGAAAAGCUGUGUGUAUUUCUGCGGUGCCCGUACCGCAAACCGACACAGGUAGGUAGGAAGAAGAUUCUAAGGCCAACGGGAGAAGGGUUGUUAAGGAACUCGGCAAAUUGACCCCGUAACUUCGGGAGAAGGGGUGCUCCAGAGAUGGAGCCGCAGAGAAUCGGCCCAAGCAACUGUUUACCAAAAACACAGGUUUGUGCUAAAUCGAAAGAUGACGUAUACGAGCUGACGCCUGCCCGGUGCUGGAAGGUUAAGAGGAGAUGUGCAAGCAUUGAAUCGAAGCCCCAGUGAACGGCGGCCGUAACUAUAACGGUCCUAAGGUAGCGAAAUUCCUUGUCAGGUAAGUUCUGACCCGCAUGAAAGGCGUAAUGAUUUGGGCACUGUCUCGACAGCCCGCCCGGCGAAAUUGUAGUACCGGUGAAGAUGCCGGUUACCCGCGACAAGACGGAAAGACCCCAUGGAGCUUUACUGUAGCCUAAUAUUGGGUUUCGAUGUUGCAUGCACAGGAUAGAUGGGACACUGGGAAGCAAGAGCUUUGGCUUUUGUGGAGUGGCCGUUGGGAUACCAUCCUUGCGAUAUUGGAAUUCUAACCUGCGCCUUUGAAUCAAGGCGGGGGACAUUGUUAGGUGGGCAGUUUGACUGGGGCGGUCGCCUCCUAAAGAGUAACGGAGGCGUUCAAAGGUUCGCUCAGCUUGAACGGAAAUCAAGCAAAAGAGUGCAAACGCAGAAGCGAGCCUAACUGCGAGACUGACGGGUCGAGCAGUAACGAAAGUUGGAGUUAGUGAUCCGGUGGUAUGUGAGUGGAAAUGCCAUCGCUCAACGGAUAAAAGUUACCCUGGGGAUAACAGGCUGAUCUCCCCCAAGAGUCCACAUCGACGGGGAGGUUUGGCACCUCGAUGUCGGCUCAUCGCAUCCUGGGGCUGUAUUCGGUCCCAAGGGUUUGGCUGUUCGCCAAUUAAAGCGGUACGCGAGCUGGGUUCAGAACGUCGUGAGACAGUUCGGUCCCUAUCUGUCGUGGGCGCAGGAUAUUUGAUGGGAGCUGUUCCUAGUACGAGAGGACCGGAGCGGACGUACCUCUGGCGCACCAGUUGUUCUGCCAAGGGCAUAGCUGGGCAACUAUGUACGGAUCGGAUAAACGCUGAAAGCAUCUAAGCGUGAAGCCGACCCAAAGAUAAGAUAUCCCAUUGUUUCAAACAAGUAAGACCCCUUGAAGACUACAAGGUUGAUAGGCACGAUGUGUAAGUGGAGUGAUCCAUUCAGCAAGCGUGUACUAAUAGGUCGAGGGCUUGACCAC